AGAAGGGAUCACACUCGGAAUAAAAACUCCCCCAAACUUCUUCAAGGUCACGACACGUCUGGAGAAUGAUCUUCAAAUGACUCUUAUCAGAGAGAAGGAUAAGGAGGAGGUCUGGACUGCAACAAUUGAGAAAGAUGAACUUGAUCAGAUUCAUCCUAAGAGAAAUGAGUCGCAUCUGAAUAGUGAAGCAGUGCAGACUCCCACUGGAGUCAGUGUUGGUGUAACAGCUGACAGAGGUGCGAGUGCAGGUGUUUCUGUACUCACAGGAAACACUAUCACAGGCCCAAUACACAUCAACUACGGCUGAAACCCUGCAGUACACAAUACACCAACAAGGAUCAAUGAAGACUCAACUACAGAGGACAGUAAAUCUGAAACUGAAAACUGAAACCAUCAUCCAUCACAUCAGGAAAUCCAGGAGUACAUCAUGUGCCACAUCCCCAUCUUCUGCUGGAUCUCUCUCACUGUUCUUCAGCCUCUGCUGGCUCGAGAGACCAACAACUCUCACAGAGAUGUUCACAAACUUCUUACUUUCUUAGAAGCAACAAAUGAAAACAAAAUACCAUGAUCAUCCUGCACCUAAACCCAAAGCCAAGUCAUUUGACCAGAUUCUUCUGAAGCUUGGGAAACUGGCCUUUAAUCAGCUGGAGAAAGGUAAUCUGAUUUCCUACAAAGAAGAUCUUGAGGAGUGUGGACUAGACAUCAGUGAAGGGUCAGUGUACUCUGGGUUAUGCACUCAGAUCUUUCAGAUGAAAAAGUUUUAAGAUUCGAGGAAUGAUUUCCUGUAAAACAGCAAAUGUCAUUUAUAUGUUAUAUUUCCCUUGUGGAUUUUCAUGGACAAACCAAGCAGACAUCUUAAAAAAAACAUUGAAGUCCAGUGGAACAACAAUUUGAGACAUUAGAUUUUGACUUUGCAGUACGUUGGCAUUGAAGAUGUUAAACUACCUCGAAGAGGGGGUGAUAUAUAUAAAAAAGAUUUUAAAACGUGAAGCAUAUUGGAUUUACACUUUGAAUACAUUAUAAUCUAAUGGUCUCAAUGAAGAAUUUGAUAUUCAGCCUUUGCUUUAAUUAUGUUAUUGAUCUGUAUGUGUGGAUUUAUUGCAUUAUGUUCGUUAUGUUGUUGGUAUUUUCUUUUGUUUUCUUGCAGUCAUCCAUUUUCUGAUUGAAAUUUUUUGACUGAUUCAUAUUUUUAUCUAGCGUUAGCAUCAGUUCUAGCAGGUCACAUCAGUCAAGCUCGCAUCAGCUGACUCCCAGGUGACUUACGUCUAUCUAUUGUUGUUGAUAGCCACGCCCUGUCUCAUUGGAAUAAUGCAACUUUGAUACUGAAAGUACAUUUUUGUCUAUGAGAAUAGUAGAUUAAUAAAAAAGAAAGACACACCAACAGAAUUUAAUUGAAAAGUGUUUAUUGAGAUAUAUAAUUAAAGGGAAUAGUAACAUUUAAAGGGAAAAGGAAAAGAAACCCCAACAACAGAUGUUUGUAUUAAAGAAGGACAGACAAUUGAUAUUGUAAGGCCUUUAUUAAAGCAUAUAUUAUUUGCUUAUUAAAGAAUGACAGACAACUGCUAUUAUAAUGCAUUUGUUAGUAGCAUGUUAGUGGAUUAGAAAGGAAAAAACAUGUAUUAGAUAGAAAAGCAGGUAUUACCUUGAAGCGAUGUGUUGUAGACGAGGAUCAGAUGACAGCAGUGAAGAAGGGCCCAAAGGAGAAGGACAAGAAAACAGCAGGCUAUAUAAGCAAAUUCUGAGGCGUUUUCCAGAGCUUAUGACAGCCCAGAACUUUGGAUUCGACCAAUUAACUGUAAAGGAAUGAUGAGGGAUUUUUAUGUGUCAUUACAUCAGUGGCUUGUGUUGUCUUUAAAAGACUAGGAGACGCUGCUUCUUGAUGAACAGCCUCUCCGGUGUUAGGUAACUUGCUGUUAGCACCUCCUGCAGACAAACGCUUGUAACAUAAGGGUUGACUGUAAUUUGAUUUUAUUUU